AGUGGCGGACGGGUGAGUAAUGCAUGGGAAUCUACCCAACAGUGGGGGACAACCCGAGGAAACUCGGGCUAAUACCGCAUACGACCUACGGGUGAAAGGGGGCUUCGGCUCUCGCUGAUGGAUGAGCCCAUGUCCGAUUAGCUAGUUGGUGAGGUAAAGGCUCACCAAGGCGACGAUCGGUAGCUGGUCUGAGAGGAUGGCCAGCCACACUGGGACUGAGACACGGCCCAG
rnacentral:rRNA from 1 species